CAGCGGAAAGUAGCUUGCUACUUUGCCGNCGUAGNGGCGGACGGGCUGANGUAAUGUUCCUGGNAAACUGCCNUGCAUGGAGGGGGAUAACUACUGUAAAACGGUAGCUAAUACCGCAUGACCUCCCAAGAGCAAAGUGGGGGACCUUCGGGCCUCACGCCAUCGGAUGUGCCCAGAUGGGAUUANCUAGUAGGUGGGGUAAUGGCUCACCUANGCGACGAUCCCUAGCUGGUCUGAGAGGAUGACCAGCCACACUGGAACUGAGACACGGUCCAGACUCCUACGGGAGGCANCANUGGGGAAUAUUGCACAAUGGGCGCAAGCNUGAUGCAGCCAUGCCGCGUGUGUGAAGAAGGCCUUCGGGUUGUAAAGCACUUUCAGCGAGGAGGAAGGGUAUCGUGUUAAUAGCACGGUACAUUGACGUUACUCGCAGAAGAAGCACCGGCUAACUCCGUGCCAGCAGCCGCGGUAAUACGGAGGGUGCAAGCGUUAAUCGGAAUUACUGGGCGUAAAGCGCACGCAGGCGGUUUGUUAAGUCAGAUGUGAAAUCCCCGAGCUUAACUUGGGAACUGCAUUUGAAACUGGCAAGCUAGAGUCUUGUAGAGGGGGGUAGAAUUCCAGGUGUAGCGGUGAAAUGCGUANAGAUCUGGAGGAAUACCGGUGGCGAAGGCGGCCCCCUGGACAAAGACUGACGCUCAGGUGCGAAAGCGUGGGGAGCAAACAGGAUUAAAUACCCUGGUAGUCCACGCUG
rnacentral:rRNA from 1 species